rnacentral:misc_RNA from 1 species
GAUGAAGAACUCAGCGAAAUGCGAUAAGUAAUGUGAAUUGCAGAAUUCAGUGAAUCAUCGAAUCUUUGAACGCACAUUGCGCCCGCCAGUAUUCUGGCGGGCAUGCCUGUUCGAGCGUCAUUUCAACCAUCAAGCCCCCGGGCUUGUGUUGGGGACCUGCGGCUGCCGCAGGCCCUGAAAAGCAGUGGCGGGCUCGCUGUCACACCGAGCGUAGUAGAUUUUAUCUCGCUCUGGGCGUGCUGCGGGUUCCGGCCGUUAAACCACCCUUUUAACCCAAGGUUGACCUCGGAUCAGGUAGGAAGACCCGCUGAACUUAAGCAUAUCAAUAAGCGGAGGA